AGUGAACGCUGGCGGUAGGCCUAACACAUGCAAGUCGAACGGCAGCACGGGAGAGCUUGCUCUCUGGGUGGCGAGUGGCGGACGGGUGAGGAAUACAUCGGAAUCUACUCUGUCGUGGGGGAUAACGUAGGGAAACUUACGCUAAUACCGCAUACGACCUACGGGUGAAAGCAGGGGACCUUCGGGCCUUGCGCGAUUGAAUGAGCCGAUGUCGGAUUAGCUAGUUGGCGGGGUAAAGGCCCACCAAGGCGACGAUCCGUAGCUGGUCUGGGGGGGUGCUCAGCCACACUGGAACUGAGAGACGGUCCAGACUCCUACGGGAGGCAGCAGUGGGGAAUAUUGGACAAUGGGCGCAAGCCUGAUCCAGCCAUACCGCGUGGGUGAAGAAGGCCUUCGGGUUGUAAAGCCCUUUUGUUGGGAAAGAAAUCCAGCUGGCUAAUACCCGGUUGGGAUGACGGUACCCAAAGAAUAAGCACCGGCUAACUUCGUGCCAGCCGCCGCCGUAA
rnacentral:rRNA from 1 species